GAUUUAUGGAAAAUUUACAAACAGAGAUUCAAGAAAUGGAAUUCCUUCAGUUUUCUAAAGGUUUGAGUUUCAUGAGAAAAGAAGACUUUGCAGAGUGGCUACUUUUUUUCACUAACACUGAAAAUAAAGAUAUUUAUUGGAAAAAUGUGAGAGAGAAGUUGUCAGCAGGAGAGCUGAGUUUAAGAGAGCUGUGAAAGUAGCAACAGGACAAGAACUCUCAAACAAUAUUUUGGACACUGUCUUCAAGAUCUUUGAUUUGGAUGGUGAUGAAUGUCUUAGUCAUGAAGAGUUUCUUGGGGUGUUAAAAAACAGAAUGCAUCGAGGUUUAUGGGUACCACAACAUCAGAGUAUACAAGAAUACUGGAAGUGUGUGAAGAAAGAAAGCAUUAAAGGAGUAAAAGAAGUCUGGAAACAAGCUGGAAAAGGUCUUUUUUAAUAAAAGAUAUAAUAGUAUGGCAAUUAUAUUGUUCCAAAUGUCAAAUUUUGUGAUUUUUUAGAAGUACUUGCUAUUUAUCUUCUUAAGUCUUCAUUGAUAUUCUGUGUGAUAUAAGCAUGUCUUGUACUUGCUUUCUGAUUCAUAAUUUUAUUAAAGAACUUAGUAGAAAGAAAAGUAAGUAUAAAAAUAGAUAUUGGAUUCUGUCAGAAGGCCUAGAUUUGAAAUAAUGUUUUGUACUUCGGUAAGAUGGAAAACUUAGUGAUUCACUGAUUUCUUAGACACUCUAAUAUGAUAUGCUUUCUGGAAGGAUAA
rnacentral:sRNA from 1 species